rnacentral:tRNA from 1 species
GGGCGGUUAGCUCAGUUGGAAGAGCGGCUGGUUUACACCCAGUAGGUCGGCGGUUCGAACCCGUCACCGCCCACCA